rnacentral:rRNA from 1 species
CGAGGGAGCAAGCGUUCUCGGAAUUAUUGGGUGCGUAAAAGGGCGCGUAGGCGAUCUGAAAAGUUCUGUGUGAAAGCCCACAUGUUAACUGUGGAAGUGCACAGAAAACUGUUGGAUUUGAGUUCAGGAGAGGAAGGCAGAAUUCCCGGUGUAGCGGUGAAAUGCGUAGAGAUCGGGAGGAAUACCAGUGGCGAAGGCGGCCUUCUGGACUGACACUGACGCUGAGGCGCGAAAGCCAGGGGAGCAAACGGG